rnacentral:lncRNA from 1 species
AGGCAAAGAGAGAACAUCGUAAAGUUUCUUGGUCCAGCUUCCUUCACAUUUGAUGACAACACUAAUCGUAUCUGAUUCUAAGUUACUGUUUGAUGUUACAGUGAAUGGAUGCCACUGCAGCUUUGAUAUGCUUGGUACAUUCAGGAACAUGACGCUCGUUGGAGAGUACUCCAAACCUACAAAUCAUAAAUAAGUAAGUAAAAAUUCGUUACAUAUUCAGUGUAUAUAAGUUAGUUCUUUAUACAUUUAGGAACAUGACGCUCGUUGGAGAGUACUCCAAAACUACAAAUCAUAAAUAAAAUAAAUAAAAGUUUUAGAAAUUCGUUGCAUAGUCAGUGUAUAUAAGUCAGUUCUUUAUAAUUUCUUGCUUGAAAACGCGGAAAUGUUAC